GAAGUCAUAUUCCCGUGUUUCUCUAAUGCUGGUUUGUUUCCAUGGAAGUUAAUGUGAUGUCAAAAACUUAGUACAGGUAUUGUGACUUCAGCAAAAAGAAAAGGUGAAAGGGAGUGUGCAAAGUAUUUCAGUACUAAAGAAUUAAAUGUUGUACUGAGUCAGAGACAGGAGUCUUUCGUGUCACAUCCAGCUUGGACUAGAAGCUGGAGACUAUAAAGUAGUAUUGGCAAUAAGGACUUCUGUGCUUGGGUUAUGUGUAUUUACGUUUCCAGUCAUCCCUGCAUUAUAAACACUGUAAAGAGAGAGCCUUCGUUAAAAGUCAAAUGACCCAAGUCCUCCUUUACAACCAUCGCUGUAACUCCUAUGAAGUCAAAAAGAAUUUGGCCAAUGCGCUUUACGUUUACUGUAAAUAUAGCAUUUGGGAGUUCUGAACUAUGGACCAGAUUCUCUCAUCUGACUGAGCUGAGCUCAUUGCAGGACCACUUUGAGGCAAAGGCAGAGUUCAGUCACCUUUGUGCUCCCCUAGUCCCAGGACCACUAGAUAUUAGACCCCAGCAUAACACAGAGUAGCAGCCUGAAGUCUGUUCCAUUUUACAGAAGCAGACCAUGGCCCCCAAGGGCUGGCUGGCAGCUGGCCUCUGUGGUGCCCCAGGCUUGCCCCCAUUCUCUCCAUCAUGCCCCUGUACUGGGGGCUAGUAGGGUGGGUAGUGUAGAAGACACUGUGGCAGCCCUAUGCCAUUUCCAUUACCCUGUCUGUCUCUCUGUAUCCAUAUGUUGUCUCUUGUCUUGUACUUAGAUUGUAACCUUUUAGGGGCACGGACUCUCCUUUUUGUUAUGUGUUUGUACAGCCCCCUCGUCCAGUAGGCUCCUAUGCUAUAUAAAUAAUAUUUUUUAAAAAGCAGCCUCCAGCCUACUCUACACUGCUCGGGUCAAAGGACAGAGAAUGAAGGAGGAUAACUGACUACCUGAGACCUCCCUCUCUGCUAUGCCCAAAAUGGGGAAACUGAGGCAUGAAGAGGUCACCCAGUAUAACAGUGGUAGUGCCAAAAAUAGAACCCAGGUCUCCUGAGCACCCAAUCCACGAGGUUUACAGUCCUGGCUCUCACAGAGGAGAUAGCAUCCUUCCUGAACACACAGCCCUCAACCUCCAAUUAAUGGGCGUUACUAAAUGAG